rnacentral:rRNA from 1 species
CCUACGGGAGGCUGCAGUGGGGAAUAUUGCACAAUGGGGGAAACCCUGAUGCAGCGACGCCGCGUGCGUGAAGACGUAUUUCGGUACGUAAAGCUCUAUCAGCAGGGAAGAAAAUGACGGUACCUGACUAAGAAGCCCCGGCUAACUACGUGCCAGCAGCCGCGGUAAUACGUAGGGGGCAAGCGUUAUCCGGAUUUACUGGGUGUAAAGGGAGCGUAGACGGCAGCGCAAGUCUGGAGUGAAAUCCCAUGGCUUAACCAUGGAACUGCUUUGGAAACUGUGCAGCUAGAGUGCAGGAGAGGUAAGCGGAAUUCCUAGUGUAGCGGUGAAAUGCGUAGAUAUUAGGAGGAACACCAGUGGCGAAGGCGGCUUACUGGACUGUAACUGACGUUGAGGCUCGAAAGCGUGGGGAGCAAACAGGAUUAGAUACCCCAGUAGUC